AGGGUGCUGCGGUGUGCGUGAGAUUCUAUAUCGCAGAGGCCGACAAACAUUCGCUCGGGAGCUGCCUCUGGCCGGAUCGAGGUCCGGUUAUUGCGGUGCCCACCUGGUAGACCAGGGCCACUUGCGGAUAAGACAGUCCACGGCAUAUGUGGCACCCUC
rnacentral:other from 1 species